AGUUGAAACACUGGAUCCCCUACGAACACCGAUGUUAAGCAACGUCGACCCCGGUGUGUACCUAGAUGAGUGACCUCUCCGGAAUACCCGUGCUGUAAG